UACGUAGGGUGCGAGCGUUGUCCGGAAUUAUUGGCGUAAAGAGCUCGUAGGCGGUGUGUCGCGUCGGCCGUGAAAACCUGCAGCUUAACUGUGGGCUUGCGGUCGAUACGGGCAUCACUGGAGUUCGGCAGGGGAGACUGGAAUUCCUGGUGUAGCGGUGAAAUGCGCAGAUAUCAGGAGGAACACCGGUGGCGAAGGCGGCCCCCUGGACCGGUACUGACGCCUGAGGCGCGAAAGCGUGGGUAGCAACGGGAU
rnacentral:rRNA from 1 species